rnacentral:rRNA from 1 species
AGAAGGUGUAGCAAUACACUUGUAAAGCGGGCAAACGGGUGAGGAAUGCAUGGGUAACCUACCCUCGAGUGGGGAAUAACUAGCCGAAAGGUUAGCUAAUACCGCAUACGUUUCCGGAACUUCGGUUUCGGAAAGAAAGCAAUACCGUGGGUAUUGCGCUCCUGGAUGGGCUCAUGUCCUAUCAGCUUGUUGGUGAGGUAACGGCUCACCAAGGCUUCGACGGGUAGCUGGUCUGAGAGGACGAUCAGCCACACUGGCACUGCGACACGGGCCAGACUCCUACGGGAGGCAGCAGUAAGGAAUAUUGCGCAAUGGACGAAAGUCUGACGCAGCGACGCCGCGUGGGGGAUGAAGGUCUUCGGAUUGUAAACCCCUUUCGGGAGGGAAGAUGGAGUGGGUAACCACUUGGACGGUACCUCCAGAAGCAGCCACGGCUAACUUCGUG